UAGCAGUGUGAUGUUAUUACACUAGAUUGUAAAGUGAGAAGCUAUUCCGGUAGGAAAUUAUAGGAGCACUGACAGAUUUUAUUUUGAAAAGACGACCAAUCCAUUUCAAAACAGUGGGUAACUUCCUGUCCCAAAAUUAUUAUCUUUAUUCAAAUUUAAUAUGUUGUGAAUAAAACUGUGAAUUAUUACCUUUAAUGUUUAACAUAUUGAGUUCAUAGAUUGUUGUUUAAAGUAUCAGUUCGAAAUUUAAAAAGAACAGUUAUCGGGUCAUACCAUUAUAAUCUGUGAAAGGUUUUCCCACGCUCUCCGUCGCGCUCUUUCUGUUUGGAUUCCGUGGGAGAAGGCGCUGUGGAACACUGUGAAAAGAAAAGCCUGUUCUUGAUUACUAUUUUCUGCCAUUUGAAUGCAGGAUCAUUAAAAGUGCUUUCCAAUCA